rnacentral:rRNA from 1 species
GACGAACGCUGGCGGCGUGCCUAAUACAUGCAAGUAGAACGCUGAAGGAGGAGCUUGCUUCUCUGGAUGAGUUGCGAACGGGUGAGUAACGCGUAGGUAACCUGCCUGGUAGCGGGGGAUAACUAUUGGAAACGAUAGCUAAUACCGCAUAAGAGUAGAUGUUGCAUGACAUUUGCUUAAAAGGUGCAAUUGCAUCACUACCAGAUGGACCUGCGUUGUAUUAGCUAGUUGGUGAGGUAACGGCUCACCAAGGCGACGAUACAUAGCCGACCUGAGAGGGUGAUCGGCCACACUGGGACUGAGACACGGCCCAGACUCCUACGGGAGGCAGCAGUAGGGAAUCUUCGGCAAUGGACGGAAGUUUGACCGAGCAACGCCGCGUGAGUGAAGAAGGUUUUCGGAUCGUAAAGCUCUGUUGUAAGAGAAGAACGAGUGUGAGAGUGGAAAGUUCACACUGUGACGGUAUCUUACCAGAAAGGGACGGCUAACUACGUG